GCCUGCAGCUAUACCGCCCUGCAAGUGCCUGACUCCAGAAGCUAAGCAUGGUCAGGCCUGGUUAGUACUUAGGAUGGAAGACUGUCCAGGAAGAUCCAGUGUUUUAUGCU
ensembl:rRNA 5S_rRNA 5S ribosomal RNA